GAUGAACGCUGGCGGCGUGCUUAAUACAUGCAAGUCGAACGGAGAGUGUAGCAAUAUACUCUUAGUGGCGAACGGGUGAGUAACGCGUUGGUGACCUACCCCGAAGUGGGGGAUAACAGUUCGAAAGGACUGCUAAUACCCCAUGUGGUCGUGAGGGUCAGAGACCUCAUGACUAAAGGAGCAAUUCGCUUCGGGAGGGGCCUGCGUCCCAUCAGCUAGUUGGUAGGGUAAUAGCCUACCAAGGCAACGACGGGUAGGGGACCUGAGAGGGUGACCCCCCACACUGGCACUGAAACAACGGGCCGAGACACCUACGGGUGGCUG
rnacentral:rRNA from 1 species